UGGGGAAUAUUGCGCAAUGGGCGGAAGCCUGACGCAGCGACGCCGCGUGGGGGAUGACGGCCUUCGGGUUGUAAACCUCUUUCAGCAUCGACGAAGCCUUUUUGGGUGACGGUAGGUGCAGAAGAAGCCCCGGCUAACUUCGUGCCAGCAGCCGCGGUAAUACGAAGGGGGCUAGCGUUGUUCGGAAUUACUGGGCGUAAAGGGCGCGUAGGCGGACUGUUAAGUCAGGGGUGAAAUCCCGGGGCUCAACCCCGGAACUGCCUUUGAUACUGGCGGUCUUGAGUUCGGGAGAGGUGAGUGGAAUUCCGAGUGUAGAGGUGAAAUUCGUAGAUAUUCGGAGGAACACCAGUGGCGAAGGCGGCUCACUGGCCCGAUACUGACGCUGAGGCGCGAAAGCGUGGGGAGCAAACAGGAUUAGAUACC
rnacentral:rRNA from 1 species